UACGUAGGGGGCAAGCGUUAUCCGGAAUCACUGGGCGUAAAGGGUGCGUAGGCGGCCUGACAAGUCAGAGGUGAAAGGCUACGGCUUAACCUGGGCGCUGCCAUUGAAACUGUUGGGCUUGAGUGCAGGAGAGGUAAGUGGAAUUCCUAGUGUAGCGGUGAAAUGCGUAGAUAUUAGGAGGAACACCAGUGGCGAAGGCGACUUACUGGACUGUAACUGACGCUGAGGCACGAAAGCGUGGGGAGCAAAC
rnacentral:rRNA from 1 species